GAUGAACGCUGGCGGCGUGCUUAACACAUGCAAGUCGUACGGACAGACGAUGAGCGUGCUCCUCUGGCGGCAGCGGCGGACGUGAGACGAACAUGUCGAUAGCCUACCUAUAAGAUUGGGCUAACUUCGUGAAACCGGUGCUAAUACUGUGUUAUAUAUGCAACGUCGUGGUUGAAAAGUGAAAGAGGGUUUUGCUGUACCUGCGAGAUGUAUCCGCGCUGGUUUAGUUAUUUGGUACGGUAACGGCUUAGCAAGGCAGCGGUGCGUAGCCGACCUGAGAGGGGGUACGGCCACACUGGGACUGAGACACGGUCCAGACUCCUACGGACGGCAGCGGUAGCGAAUCUUGCCAGAUGGGCGAAAGCCUGAAGGAGCAACGCCGCGUGGGUGAUGCAGGUCUUCGGAUCGUAAGACUCUGUUAUUAGGGAAGAACGCAUGUGUAAGUAACUAUGCACGUCUUGACGGUACCUAAUCAAAAAGCCACGGCUAACUACGUG
rnacentral:rRNA from 1 species